UCUCUGUUAGUGUGUUGGUUAGUAUACGGGCCUGUCAUCGGGCCGAAUCUAGCUAACCUCGCACGAGCGAGGGUUGGGUUCGACUCCCAGCCAGAGAG